rnacentral:rRNA from 1 species
CUGAUCGCAUGGUCUCGCACCGGCGACGCAUCUUUCAAAUGUCUGCCUUAUCAACUGUCGAUGGUAGGUUCUGCGCCUACCAUGGUUGUAACGGGUAACGGGGAAUCAGGGUUCGAUUCCGGAGAGGGAGCCUGAGAAACGGCUACCACAUCCAAGGAAGGCAGCAGGCGCGCAAAUUACCCACUCCCGGCACGGGGAGGUAGUGACGAAAAAUAACGAUACGGGACUCAUCCGAGGCCCCGUAAUCGGAAUGAGUACACUCUAAACCCUUUAACGAGGAUCAAUUGGAGGGCAAGUCUGGUGCCAGCAGCCGCGGUAAUUCCAGCUCCAAUAGCGUAUAUUAAAGUUGUUGCGGUUAAAAAGCUCGUAAUCCAAUCUGUGUCCCGCGCCGCCGGUUCAUCGCUCGCGGUGUUUAACUGGCGUGUCCCCGGGACGUCCUGCCGGUGGGCUUAGCCCCCCAAAGGGCGGCCCAACUUCAAAUCCCACC